rnacentral:rRNA from 1 species
ACGGGAGGCAGCAGUGGGGAAUAUUGCACAAUGGGGGAAACCCUGAUGCAGCGACGCCGCGUGAGUGAAGAAGUAUUUCGGUAUGUAAAGCUCUAUCAGCAGGAAAGAAAAUGACGGUACCUGACUAAGAAGCCCCGGCUAACUACGUGCCAGCAGCCGCGGUAAUACGUAGGGGGCAAGCGUUAUCCGGAUUUACUGGGUGUAAAGGGAGCGUAGACGGCUUGGCAAGUCUGAAGUGAAAGCCCGGGGCUCAACCCCGGAACUGCUUUGGAAACUGUUGAGCUGGAGUGCAGGAGAGGUAAGCGGAAUUCCUAGUGUAGCGGUGAAAUGCGUGGAUAUUAGGAGGAACACCAGCGGCGAAGGCGGCUUACUGGACUGUAACUGACGUUGAGGCUCGAAAGCGUGGGGAGCAAACAGGAUUAGAUACCCUGGUA